rnacentral:tRNA from 1 species
GCCCUCGUAGUUUAAAGGAAAAACACAACCCUGCGGAGGUUGAGAUCCAGGUUCGAUUCCUGGCGAGGGCA